rnacentral:piRNA from 1 species
UACAGAAGUAUCUGGCACACCCAGAAAUGC